rnacentral:miRNA from 1 species
UCAUUCUUAAACAAUGAAUA